rnacentral:rRNA from 1 species
UACGUAGGGUGCGAGCGUUGUCCGGAAUUAUUGGGCGUAAAGGGCUCGUAGGCGGUUUGUCGCGUCGGGAGUGAAAUCCACUGGCUUAACUGGUGGCUUGCUUUCGAUACGGGCAGACUGGAGGUAUGCAGGGGAGAACGGAAUUCCUGGUGUAGCGGUGAAAUGCGCAGAUAUCAGGAGGAACACCGGUGGCGAAGGCGGAUCUCUGGGCCUGUUCUGACGCUGAGGCGCGAAAGCUAGGGGAGCGAACAGG